rnacentral:rRNA from 1 species
UACGGAGGGGCCUAGCGUUGUUCGGAAUUACUGGGCGUAAAGCGCACGUAGGCGGAUUUGUAAGUCAGGGGUGAAAUCCCGGGGCUCAACCUCGGAACUGCCUUUGAUACUGCAAAUCUCGAGUCCGGAAGAGGUGAGUGGAAUUCCUAGUGUAGAGGUGAAAUUCGUAGAUAUUAGGAAGAACACCAGUGGCGAAGGCGGCUCACUGGUCCGGUACUGACGCUGAGGUGCGAAAGCGUGGGGAGCAAACAGG